UCAAACAGAGACCCAACAAUGUGGUGCUCUGUAAGUUGUGUAGGAUGGAGAUGGUGUACCACAGCAGUACAAGUGCAAUGCACGAGCACCUGACAAGAAGGCAUCCCAGAGCGCUGAGUGAAGAAGACAGCAACAAGACACCGCCGAUAAGACAAAGCAGAGUGGAGGACUUUUUCUACAAAAAGAACAUUGCACUUUAUUCCUUUUACAUGAAUUUACAAUACAAGCUCUUGUUUUAAUUUUAUUUUGGAGAAAUUUUAUUUUGGACUGAAAACAGAUUACCAGCAAAGACUGGGAUAUUUUUUGUUGUGAAAUAAUGCCAUAAUAAUAUUCUUGUUUUAUGUAUAUGUUUAUAAGAGAAGAUAUUUGAAUAAAGUAUUGAAAUAA